rnacentral:tRNA from 1 species
GCGUUGUUGGUGUAGUGGUUAGCAUUGAAGCCUUCCAUCGGAAAACAGCUUUAGUCCGGGGUUCGAAUCCCCGACAGCGCA